CAAUUUUAUUGAAUAAAAACCCAUUACCCAAAACUUUAAAAUCUAAAAUUUAUAAAAAAAAAAGAAAAAAAAGGAAGCUCACGUCAAUAGAUAUAAACAAUUUCCCAAAGUUUAAUGCAAAUGGUUAAAGAGUUUUUGAGUUAAUGUCCGACAUGUUGACAACAGAUGGACAACAGUAUACCAUAAUACGUUCCGUAAACGAGUGUAUAAAAAAUAUUAUAAUAUAUUGAGUAGUAAUUUAAACACAUUCUAGAUACAUAAAUUAAUACUAAAAACAUAGUCAUAAAAAAUGGAAUGCAUUACAAAGGAUUAUAUCCGUAAUAAGAAAUACUGAUUUGUCAAAGACCGAAUUAUUUUAAUAUUUCAUUUACUGUUAUCUGUUUUUGUCCAUUUUAAUUCCUUGUUAUCUGUUAUGAGCCAAAUCAAUUUGCUGUUUUGCUGUUAUUGGGACCCCCUUGCCCCCCCCCCCU
rnacentral:lncRNA from 1 species